UCAGACGUGAAUACCCGCUGAACUUAAGCAUAUCAUUUAGCGGAGGA
rnacentral:rRNA from 1 species